UACGGAGGGUCCAAGCGUUGUCCGGAAUCACUGGGUGUAAAGGGUGCGUAGGCGGACUCGUAAGUCAGGGGUGAAAGCCCGCGGCUCAACCGCGGAACUGCCUCUGAUACUGCGAGCCUUGAGUCCUGGAGGGGCUGGCGGAAUUCGUGGUGUAGCGGUGAAAUGCGUAGAUAUCACGAGGAACACCGGAGGUGUAGACGGCCAGCUGGACAGGUACUGACGCUGAGGCACGAAAGCGUGGGGAGCGAACAGGAUUAGAAACCCCAGUAGUCC
rnacentral:rRNA from 1 species